AACAACAAAGUUAGUGAAAGCUCUAACUACUACACUGAACAUACAACCAUACAUAUCAUAUUUGAUUACAUUUUAACCAAAUACAAAUACUAUUACAUCCAUUCUCUUUCAUUUUUUACAUUUAAUCAAAACAUGAUUUACAUUAUUUUAUUCAACAUACAAAAUUUGAAACUCUAUACAUAGGAAAAUGCCUAGUAACUCCGGUGGCCGCUAGCUACG
rnacentral:lncRNA from 1 species